AUAAGACCCCUAACCUCACCCUUAAUCUGUCCACAAGGUUAUCCAAUAAGAUUAUCGUCCGAGACACGAAAUCACGAAGCAAUAACACAAGAACGAUCCCCACGACAUUGAGUUGAGUUGUUUGAAGAGUAGCUUGGGAGGUAUUAAGGACUCACCAUGGUUAAGGUCCCAAUUGAUAGGCUGACAUUCCUCCGAAUAGGCUAUCAGCUCAGCGGAGGUGUUGGUGCACUCCACUUGCUUCGGAGUUGCCUAUUUUAUUACUAUGCUU